rnacentral:RNase_P_RNA from 1 species
CAGAAUAGAAGGGGUGGUAACCACUAAAGUAAAUUUAGUGGGAAGGAAAGUCCGGGCUCCAGAGGGCAAGCGUAGUGGGUAGCACCCAUCCAUUCAGCAUAAGCUGAGUGAGGAUAUCCGCCACAGCUCGUGGUGGACCUGCCAAUAUUUUUGGUGGGAGAGCCACAGAGACGAGUACCGCAUAUGCGGGAUGUGAAACGCGGCAAUCUCUACGCGGAGCAAGGUCAGAAAGACCCUGAAUAUGGGGUGGCCCGCUCCAAUGAUAGGUGAAACCUAUCUUUCAGGGAGGGUAGACCGCUAGAACUACCAAAGUGAUUUGGUAGUCAAGAGUAAUACCACUUAAAAUACAGAACCCGGCUUACCUUCUAUUCUGCACU